rnacentral:rRNA from 1 species
UACUGCGACGAGAGGUAAGUGCUUCUUUUAUACCUUGAACGUUUACCUCUAGUUCUUAGAAGAAAUCUUUCACUUCCCCUUUAAGAAAGUGUGAUAACGUCGAGUGUUCUUCUUCUAUAACUCUUAGUCGUGUGGUAGUGUUCCCUUGAUCUUUACGAGUACCUUUCCGAUUCACUAGAAUCUUCUGUCUUAAACACAGAGUGUUUACUACUGCUUAAACUGAAAGGACUUAGAAGUUCUUUCAAUGGAAGCUUUCUUUACUUCACGAAGUUCACGUUUGUCAAGUCAGUAGAGUAUCGUAUGACAGGAACGACCCUAUCUUUUGGUUCGUUGUCUACCUACAUAGAAGUGCCUUUACCUAAAUGAGCUUACCUAGCAGUGUGAUUCGAGAGCUUCUUUUUACUUAGAAGGAGUAGGAGAAGCUACUCUGGUCAGUGACUGCACUUUCGGUCUCGUUGGUAGUUUAGACUAUACUUCUCUUAUAGUGCCGAUUUGUCUCGUACACGACUAUACUUGAACCUUAGACUUCUACUUUGAAGACUUAGUCUUAGUCUUCUACUUCUAGAAGUGUCUUCCUAUCCUUCUUCGUUACGAAAACACCGUAUACUUAGUAGAUUCCUUAGUGAGCUUAGUCUGUGACUACUGUAACGCAGUUCACUACUACUUGAUCAACGUAAGACAGAGUACCGUUUUUGGAGAUUCCUAGUCUAACGUUUUAGAGUUGUUCUACUCGAACUUUUUGAACUCUUGUUAGAAUCCUUUUGACUUCCUAAUGACCAGCUUGUCUACCUCUUCUUAGUUUUCAACUACUAACCGUGACUUUGAAGGAGCUUAUCUAUACCCAGUUUGGAAGCUGUCUUCCUCAUGUACGCAUGGAUGAGUUUAGUAAUACGAGUACAGAGAUCUUUGUUGAAGUUACGUAUAAGUAUACUAAUGAGAGCUUUAGGUGUCCACUUGAUAUCUAGAGUGGCUUCCUAACAGGGACGAGUCUGAUUCGUUUAUUCUACGAGCGACGGGUGCGUUCAGAGCAGCCGGAGGGGGCCUAGGCUAGGCUAGACGCCAUUUUUUUGCUCUUGCUACUGAUCGCUAAGGGGAGCGUGCUUGUUUUUUAGCCUGCUGCGGGAUCGGAGGGAGCGUGCUUUUUUUGGGAGGAGAGUUACGCCGCGACGGGGGUAGAGAGCGAGGCGGCGGUGGCGACGACGGAGGGAGGGCGAGUCGGUGGAGGUGGCGAGGGUGGGAAGAGGGGUAACAACCUAGGCGAACGUAUAGCAGUUCCAAUCCGCCGCUUCGAGGUGCAGGCGCUACGCGUGUACGAGUAGUUCCUUCGCCGAGGGUCUAGACUCCAGCGCCCCGGCACUGCCUUCCUCGAGCUCCACCGGCGACUUCUGGUUCGGGGGUGGUACACCGCAGCUCUUGCCGGCCGCCGUACCAUCCUACCUCCUCUUGCCGGACCUCAAGCACGAGCUAGACCACCAGUCCAAGGGUGAAGCCCUUCUCAAGCGGCUAUUGGAAUUCGUAAGACUAGGCCACGGCGAUUCCGACGGUGGGUCCCCCUCCGAUCGCGAGAACCGUACCUCCUAAGUUAACCAUAAACCAAAGCCGCACAAAGUCCAAUUCUAAUCUCUUACGUGGUGGCCUGUCUUGAGGCACGCGAAGUGCCUACUCGUGUGACCUCCACCACAGCACUCCUGUUUGGAACUCUAGCUCUCUGUACGCUCGUUCGACAUGUGUUCUCGGUACCAACUCGUCAAACCGCUUGCCAACAAGCUCCGAUGAUGGAUGUUCCAGUGACUCGAACUCUUUCCCUCCUAUCACCGUACAACACGUGAUACAAACGCUUAAUUGUCCUGACAUGGAGACCAGUGCCGACUCUUCCACUCGUAAACGAGGUACGAACAAGGAGAAUAAGUUCUACCGUCUGAACAACUUUUCGACGGACUGUCCCAGUUCAUACGGUAACUGCCUAUGAAGUUCAAAACCUAAACGUCUAGGUACGGGAACUAAGAACGAGGCUUUCACCUGGACUUUUUUGAUGUUCAAGCUGCUAACGCGCUCCUUGUGUUACCCAAAAGAGACUUAGUAGACUAGGUGGAAGUGGAAGUGGCUGUAGUGUGCGAGGAGACACUGGAGGGUAGUUACUACGGGUCGAUGAAGCGGUUGUUGUAGCUCCUCGAGCACACACUAUCGAUGACGGGACGAAUC